rnacentral:misc_RNA from 1 species
UUUCCGUAGGUGAACCUGCGGAAGGAUCAUUAUUGUAUAACCAAGAUGCGAGGGCUGUCGCUGACCCGAAAGGUCGUGCACGCCCGAGUGCCCUCACACACCUCCAUCUCACCCCUAUGUGCACCACCGCGUGUGUCCCUCCGUGGCUUGUGCGGGGGGGGGCUUACGUUUUCACACAAAAGUUGUAUGCAGUGUAGAAUGUAUUUUUUGUUUUUGCGAUCACGCAAUCAAUACAACUUUCAACAACGGAUCUCUUGGCUCUC